ACCUAAGGUCAGACAAGACUACCCACUGAGUUUUAAGUAUAUCAAUAAGCAAAGGAAAAGAAACUAACUAGGAUUCCCUUAGUAACGACGAGUGAACCGAGAAAAGCCCAAGCUUAGAAUCGGGCAGCCUCGCUGUCCGAAUUGUAGCUUGGAGAAGCAUCCUCAACAACAGACCUAGCACAAGUCCCCUAGAAUAGGGCAUUCGAGAGGUUGACACUCCCGUCGUGCUUGGACCCUGUCGUACCACGAGGCGUUGUCGGCGAGUCGGGUUGUUUGGGAAUGCAACCAUAAUGCGACGAUAAAUUCCAUCCAAGGCUAAAUAUGGGCGAGAGACUGAUAGCAAACAAGGACUUUGAAAAGAGAGUCAAAGAGUGCUUGAAAGUGAUGGGAGGGAAGCGGAUGGGGAUCGGCGAUGUGCCCCGGUCGGAUGUGGAAUGUUGUUAAACGGUCUGCUAGUCGGCUUGGAGCAUAGACUAGUGCGGAUCGGGACAGAGACUAAUGCCCAGGCUGUAGAUAUGCUCGCGGAGAUGCCAUUACCUUGAUCGUAGAGGGACAGCGAGCACCAUAGGUGUGUUUCGACAUUUGCAUGCUCCCGGUGCUGGCCUACAGGUUCUCCAUUCGACCCAUCUUGAAACACGAGCCAAGGAGUCUGAAUGGGUGUGAGUUAAUAGGUGAGUAAACCCGUAAGAAAAGGAAGUUGAUUGGUAAAAUCCCCCCGAGGAGUGCAUCGUCNNCCUUGAUCUUCUGAGAAGGGUACAAGUGUGAACAUACCUGUCGCGACCCGAAAGAUGGGGAACUAUGCUUGGGUGGGGCGAAGCGAGAAGAAACUCCAAUGGAGGCCCACAACAAUACUAACGUGCAGAUUGUUCGUUUGACUUGGGUAUAUGGGCGAAAGACUAAUCGAACUAUCUAAGUAGCUGGUUUCCUCCAAAGUUUCCCUUAUGAUAGUUGGAGCUCACGUGCAAGUUCUAUCGGGUAAAGCCAAUGAUUAAAGGCAUCGCGGGUAUAACACUCUCAGCCUACUCUCAAACUUUAUAUAAGUAGGACGGGGCGGCGGCUUUCUUGAGCCGUCCCAUGGAAUCAAGAGCUCCAAGCAGCCAUUUUUGGUAAGCAGAACUUGCAAUACGGAUGAAUUGGAAGUUGGGUUACGGUUCCCAACUGCACGCUAACCUAGAUACCACAAAGGGUGUUGGUCGAUUAAGACAGCAGGAUGGUGGUCAUGGAAGUCGAAAUCCGUUGAGUGUAUAACAACUCACUUGCCGAAUCAACUAGCCCUGAAAAUGGAUAGCGCUCAAGUGCGCGAACUAUACCCGACCAUUGGGGCAAUUGCCAAGGCACGAUGAGUAGGAGGGCGACAGUCGUUUCAAAACUUGGUGCGAGCCAGGACAGAACGACCGUCAAUGCAGAUCUUGGCGAUAGUAGCAAAUAUUCAAAUGAGAACUUUGAAGACAAAAGAGGGGAAAGGUUCCAUGUGAACGACACUUACACAUAGGUUAGUCGAUCCUAAGGGUUAGGGAAAGCCCGACAGAUAGCUCGUUCUGUGCGUGCUCCGAAAGGGAAGCGGGUUAAAAUUCCUGAACUGGGAUGUGGUGGCUGGCGGUAAUGCUAGGGAGUUUAGAGACGUCGGCGGGGGCCUUGGGAAGAGUUAUCUUUUCUAUUAGUUUGUCUACCUUGGAAACAGCUCAGUCGGAGGUAGGGUCCAGCGACUGGAAGAUCACCUGCACGUUGCAUGGUGUCCGGUGUGCCCCCGGCGGCACUUGAAAAUCCGAAAGAGCGAGUGCCGUUCACGCCCGAUCGUACUGAUAAUCGCAUUAGGUCUCUAGAGUCAACAGUUUCUGGUUGAUGGAACAAUAAAGGCAAAGGAAGUCAUCAAAAUGGAUCUGUAACAUCGGGAAAAGCAUUGGCCUUUGAGGGCUGGGCACGGAGGUCGCAGUCUAGAACCCGUCGACUGUCGGUGGACUGCUCGAGAUUCUCCCGUGGAGAGAGCGGGUCACCGCAUGUCGACUGGAACGGCUCCCUCAGGGGCCUUCCCCAAGCGUCGAAAAGCCAACUCAGAACUGGUACGGACAAGAAGAAUCCGAUUGUUUAAUCAAAACAAAGCAUUACGAUGGUCCCUACGGAUGCUAACGCAAUGUGAUUUCUGCCCAGUGCUUUGAAUAUCAAAGUGAAGAAGUUCAACCAAACGUGGGUAAACAACGAGAGUAACUAUGACUUUCUUAAGGUAGCAAAAUGACUCGUUAUCUAACUAGUGAUGCACAUGAAUGGAUUAACAAGAUUCCCACUAUCCCUAUCUACUAUCCAGCAAAACCACAGCUAAGGAAAUGGGCUUGGUAGAAUCAGAAGGGAAAGAAAACUCUAUUGAGUUUGACUCUAGUCCGAUUUUGUGAAAUGACUUUAGUGGUGUAGGAUAAGUGGGAGCCCUCGGGUGAAAGUCAAAUACCACUACUUUUAAUGUUAUUUUACUUAUUGCGUGAAUCGGAGAUGGGGCCUACACCCUUUUUUUGGAUCUAAGGUCGCCUCUACAGCCGAUCCGGGCGGAAGAUAUUGUCAGGUGGGGAGUUUGGCUGGGACGGCACAUCUGUUAAAGAUAACUUAGGUGUCCUAAGAUGAGCUCAACGAGAACAGAAAUCUCGUGUGGAAUAGAAGGGUAAAAGCUCGUUUGAUUCUAAUUCCCGGUACGAAUACGAACUGUGAAAGCGUGGCCUAACGAUCCUUUAGACCUUCGAAAUUUGAAGCGUUCAUAGUGACGUUGCUUUUUCAUCCUUCAAUGUCGGCUCUUCCUAUCAUUGUGAAGCAUAAUUCACCAAGUGUUGAAUUGUUUACCCACUAAUGGGGAACGUGAAUUGGGUUUAAACCAUCGUGAGACAAGUUAUUUUUAUCCUACUAAUGAAAGUGUUGCAAUAGUAAUUCAACCAAGUGCGAGAGGAACCGUUGAUUCACACAAUUGGUCAUUGCACUUGGUUGAAAAGCCACUGGUGUGAAGCUACCGUUCGUUAGAUUAUGGCUGAAUGCCUCUAAGUCAGAAUCUGGGCUAGAAGCAAUGGGUAUUGACUAAGCCGGCAUGACGGAUGAGCCACGAUGGCCGUUUUGAAGUACAAUUCCCAUCCAGCGGCAGGCAAAAUCCUUUGUAGACGACUUAAAUAUGCGACGGGUAUUAUAAGAAGCAUAGUGGACUUACUUCCAAGAUCCUUUGAGAUUCACC
rnacentral:rRNA from 1 species